rnacentral:lncRNA from 1 species
ACUGGACACAUUAACCUUUAGCCAACUUGCAAAUGUUUUAAAACAGUUUAAAGGAUGCUGCCAAGCAACAGACUGGCUUGACAGACUGAAAAAAAAAAUUUAGAAAGAAAAAUAACUUCUGUCUUUAAACACGUUCUUUUUCUUGUUCCUAUUCUUAGGUAUAAUCUGUUGCUGUUCCUAUGAGGGAAAAGUAGAUCAGCACAGUAGAGAAGUGAGAAGAGCACGGAGAACACCGAGGUCCCACUAGUUCCAGGUGGAGGACUCUAACCGGUUGGUACUAGCCCCGACUCAGCACAUUCCCCUCCUUCUCCUGAGCAGGACAGAAGUAAGCCGCCCUGUCCCCGAAGGCUUCCGUCAUUACUUUAUAAAUUCCCAAACUGGAGGCAGGAAGGGAACAGCUGAAACAGGAUGACUGAAAUUUUGCCCUCUCAAUUUUGCCUGGGGCUAGUUUGAGUUCCAGAAUCUCCAUGUAGCCACACAGCAAGACUGAAUAGAUGAACUAAUGAGGGUGUCAUUUCAACACAUGUGUACUAGCGUUUGGUUUCUUCAUAAAGAUGGUAUUCCCAUGUCCAGGAUAAGGAACUCACAUCUUGUUUACAGCUCUUGGCAACAGCUAACCGGAGCAUGUAUUUAUCUCCUGUCUGCAACCUCGUUGUUCUCUUCUGCCCCACGGCAUUAUCUACAACAGCCACGGAGCUGUCCAGUGCUUUAUCUAACAUUUUGUUUAAUCCUGAGAACACAAGUUAUUGCACAGGCCAAGAAGAGAUACUUUAUUCCUGGGAUUUGGUCUAAGGGCAGAAACUCCACUGUAGCCAAAAUAUUCUAAACAUUAAGAAUCAGGAAGGCCAAGCCAGGCGGUUGUGGCAUAUGCCUUUAAUCCCAGCACUCGGGAGGCAGAGGCAGGCGGAUUUCUGAGUUCAACGCCAGCCUGGUCUACAAAGUGAGUUCCAGGACAGCCAGGGCUAUACAGAGAAACCCUGUCUCGAAAAACCAAACCAAACCAAACCAAAAGAAAACAAACAAAAAAACUGGUCACCUCUCAUCUGUGCCUCCUUUCCCCCACUUCAGACCUAAUGUAAUCUUACCUUCAUGAGUUGCCUAUUGUAGGCAUUUUGUAUAUCAUGAAGUACUUAUCCUUCUGUGACUGGGUUACGGCACCAGGCACAUUGUUUGCACAGCUAAUCUAUGUGUUAUAGCAUUCUUCAUUCAUUUCAUAGCUGAAUGAAUAACACUCCUUGCGUUUGUACAUCACAUCUUGUCUGUUCAAUUUCUCUGUUGAUCGAUGCUUGUGGAUGCUUCUCUUUUUGAGCAUUGUGAAUAGUGUGGCUAUGGACAUUUGAGUACAAGUCUCUGUUUCAGCCACUGCUUUCAAUUCUUUGGAAGUGUAUGCCUAUGAAAGGAAUUACUGGUGGUAAGGCAAUUCUAUAUUUUACUUCUUAAGAAAUGGCAAAGUGUACCUCACACUGAAGGUGCUGCUUUAGACUGUAAUGCACCAGACCUUCACUUUGUCCACAGCUUCAUCAGCACCGGUGACUUCUGUUUUCCUCUUCUGACACUCAUCCUUGCAAAGUGGUACCUCCUGGGGGUUUUGAUUAGCAUCUUUUCAUGUGUGCAGUCACGUUGUUCUCAGAGAAUAUCUAUUUACACUUUCAUUCCUUUACAUGUGACUAUCUAUCCAGUUUUCCCAGUAUGUCUUGUUCUUUGUUCACGAUUAGGUUGCUUUAGUUACUUGAAGUUAUUUCUAGGCCCUUUAGUAUAUUAUACUGUGCAAUUUAUCUGGUUUUAUUCCAGUACCAUGCUACGUUUAUUAGUAUGGCUCUUAGUGUAGUUUAAAAUCAGAUAUUGUAUCUCUAGAAUUGUUUUUUGUUCUUAGGAUUAUUAUACCUAUUCAGAGUCUUUUGUGCUUCCAUAUAAAUUUUAGGGAUUUUUUUUUUUUAACCUUAGUCCUGAGCAGGUAGUCCUGAGUCAUGUGAGACAGCUGCCUGAGCGAGCCACAGAGAGCCAGCCAGUAAGCAGUGUUCUUCUGUGACUUCUGCUUCAGUUCCUGCCUGUAGGUUCCUGUCUGGAGUUCCUGCCCUUGCCUCAAAUGAUGGACUUAAAGCUGUAAGCUGAAGUGAGUACUUUAUCACAGCAAUGGAAAGCAACCCAGAGCAGUAUCUCAGUUACAGUACUGGGGUCACAGAUGAGUUGACGGUUUAACGUCCCCUCUGUUUUAUGAGAUGUUAUGGGGAGCACUGGGAAUAGCUCAUCUUUACAGCUCUGGUAGAACUCAGCACCAACUCUCUACAGUCCUGGACACUUUCUACUUGGGAGAUUCAGUCUUGUUGCCUGUUGUAGAUCUGUUUAAGUUGUUUAUAACCACAGGUUUCAUAUUGGUGGGUGAUACAUGUGCAGAAAUGUUGCCAUUUCAUCUACAUUUUCUAAUUUAUGGGACUAUGGUUCUCAAAGCAUUCCUUGAUUAUCCCCUAUAUAUCAAUAAUAUUUAUUGUUCUGCCUGUCCUUUUCAUCAUGAAUUUUGUUAGUUGCGAUUCUCUCUGUUUGCUAGUUUGUUCAGGAUUUGUUAAUCACGUUUAUCUUUUCAAAGAACCAUUGUUUGUUUCACUGAAUUCAUUUUAUUGCUCUUUCAGUCUCCAUGUCAUUGAUUUCUACCUUGAUUUUUUUUUUUUUCUUAUUUCUUUGCAUAGCUUGGGUUUUUCUUUAGUAGUUUGGGAUUUGACUUUUUGUUGUGUUUCUAAGACCAGGAAGUUUGUUAGUUGGUUAGAAAUGUCUGAUCUUGAAGAAAAUAUGUAAUAAAAAAAAGAAAAAA